rnacentral:rRNA from 1 species
GUGGGGAAUAUUGCACAAUGGAGGGAACUCUGAUGCAGCGACGCCGCGUGAGCGAUGAAGGCUUUCGAGUCGUAAAGCUCUGUCGAAUGGGAAGAUAAUGACGGUACCAUUUGAGAAAGCCCCGGCUAACUACGUGCCAGCAGCCGCGGUAAUACGUAGGGGGCGAGCGUUGUCCGGAAUUAUUGGGCGUAAAGGGUUCGUAGGCGGCAAUGUAUGUCAGGUGUGAAAGACGAUGGCUCAACCAACGCAAGCAUCUGAAACUGCAUAGCUUGAGAAAAGGAGAGGUAAGUGGAAUUCCUAGUGUAGCGGUGAAAUGCGUAGAUAUUAGGAGGAAUACCAGUGGCGAAGGCGACUUACUGGACUUUAACUGACGCUGAUGAACGAAAGCGUGGGGAGCAAACAGGAUUAGAAACCCUAGUAGUCC